AAAACUCUACUUUCAGGAAUCAUGUCUGUAGUUUGUUACUAGAAAAGUUUCUCUGAACGUGUAGAGCACCGGAAACCGCGAGGAGGAGGCACAGCAUUCUCUCCUGAGUGUGAAACCUGCUCUUGGUGUUGCUUCUGCAGCUGCCAUUUGCCAUUGAUAAUCGCUCUUCUCUUGGGAGAGUAAGAGGCAGAGGAUGCUAUGCUGCCUGAGUGUU